rnacentral:misc_RNA from 1 species
GAUGAAGAACGUAGCGAAAUGCGAUAAGUAGUGUGAAUUGCAGAAUUCAGUGAAUCAUCGAAUCUUUGAACGCACAUUGCGCCCCUUGGUAUUCCAUGGGGCAUGCCUGUUCGAGCGUCAUUUGUACCCUCAAGCUAAGCUUGGUGUUGGGUGUUUGUCCACUCCCUCGUGUUUGGACUCGCCUUAAAACAAUUGGCAGCCAGUGUUUUGGUAUUGAAGCGCAGCACAAUUUGUGAUUCUAGCCUAGAAUACUAGCAUCCAUCAAGUCAUUUUUAACGCUUGACCUCGGAUCAGGUAGGGAUACCCGCUGAACUUAAGCAUAUCAAUAAGCGGAGGA